rnacentral:rRNA from 1 species
CCUACGGGAGGCAGCAGUGGGGAAUAUUGGACAAUGGGGGGAACCCUGAUCCAGCGACGCCGCGUGAGUGAAGAAGUAUUUCGGUAUGUAAAGCUCUAUCAGCAGGGAAGAAAAUGACGGUACCUGACUAAGAAGCCCCGGCUAACUACGUGCCAGCAGCCGCGGUAAUACGUAGGGGGCAAGCGUUAUCCGGAUUUACUGGGUGUAAAGGGAGCGUAGACGGUGUAGCAAGUCUGAUGUGAAAGGUCGGGGCUCAACCCCGGGACUGCAUUGGAAACUGUUGAACUGGAGUACAGGAGAGGUAAGCGGAAUUACUAGUGUAGCGGUGAAAUGCGUAGAUAUUAGGAGGAACACCAGUGGCGAAGGCGGCUUACUGGACUGUAACUGACGUUGAGGCUCGAAAGCGUGGGGAGCAAACAGGAUUAGAUACCCCAGUAGUC